rnacentral:lncRNA from 1 species
AUAAAAUGAAAUUUAAUGAAAUAAAAAUGCAACAAAAGUAUUUUUAAAAUGAAUUUUAAAAUAGAAAUAAAGUGAAAAAUCCAUAAAGUUCCUCAAAACACCAAAUAGAUGGCCAAGAAAAUUAUGAAGGUUAGAAAUAAAAUAAGAAGCAUAUAAUAAAUUUUUCAGAAUUUAAAAAUGCAGAAAAAUAUUUUUAAACC